rnacentral:rRNA from 1 species
UAGGGAAUCUUCCACAAUGGACGAAAGUCUGAUGGAGCAACGCCGCGUGAGUGAAGAAGGGUUUCGGCUCGUAAAACUCUGUUGUUAAAGAAGAACAUAUCUGAGAGUAACUGUCCAGGUAUUGACGGUAUUUAACCAGAAAGCCACGGCUAACUACGUGCCAC